rnacentral:snoRNA from 1 species
AAGUCUCUUGCCUCGCUCGGUCAAACACAUUUCAAUUGAUUGAUCUUGAGCUGGAUGCCGGCCAUUCCUGCAAGCUGCGGAGUAAGGGUCGAGUUACGAGACGAAAGCGAUCUUUUUAGCAAAGACGUUGCUGAUCUUUGAGUACGAUGUCGUCUUCCUUUUUGCAUGAUGGAUCAUUGUAAUUUAUACAGCAAGACAU